AUGACCCACGAAGAGCACCACGUAGCCAAAACCCUGGGGAUUGGCAAAGCCAUUGCUGUGUUAACCCCUGGUGGAGAUACCCAAAGUAUGAAUGCCGCUGUCAGGGCUGUCGUUCCAGUUGGGAUCUUUACCAGUGCCUGUGUCUUCUUUGUCCAUGAGGGUUAGCAAGGCCUGAUGGAUGGUGGAGAUCACAUCAGGGAAGCCACCUGGAAGAGUGUUUCGAUGAUGCUUCAGCUGGGAGGCACAGUGAUUGGAAGUGCCCGGUGCAAGGACUUUUGGGACCAAGAAGGAUGACUCCAAGCUGCCUACACCCUGGUGAAGCAUGGGAUUACCAAUCUGUGUGUCAUUGGGGGUGAUGGUAGCCUCACUGGGGCUGAUACCUUCUGUUCUAAGUGGAGUGACUUGUUGAGUGACCUCCACAAAGCAGGUAAGAUCACAGCUGAGGAGGCUACAAAGUCCAGCUACCUGAACAUCAUGGGCCUGAUUGGCUCAACAAUGACUUCUGUGGCACUGAUAUGACCAUUGGCACUGACUCAGCCCUGCACCAGAUCACAGAGAUUAUAGAUGCCAUCACCACCACUGCCCAGAGCCACCAGAGGAUGUCUGUAUUAGAAGUGAUGGGCCACCACUACGGAUACCUGGCCCUUGUCACCUCUCUCUCCUGUAGGGCCAACUGGGUUUUUAUUCCUGAAUGUCCCCCAGAUGACUGGAACACCUUUGUCACUGGCUCGGUGAGAAAAGGACCCAUGGUUCUCAUCUCAUCAUUGUAGCUGAGGUGUAACUGACAAGAAUGGAAAACCAAUCACCUCCAAGGACAUCAAGAACCUUGUGGUGAGGCAUCCAGCAUAUGACAUCCAGGUCACUGUCUUGGGACACAUGCAGCAGGGUGCGACAUUGUCAGCCUUUGACCAAAUCCUGGGCAGUAGGAUGGGUGUGGAAGCAGUGAUGGUGCUUUUGGAGGGAACCCCAGAUAUCCCAGCCUGUGUGGUGAGUCUCUGUGGUAACCAGGCCGUGUGCUUGCCCCUCAUGGAGUGUGUCCAGGUAACCAAAGAAGUGACCAAGGCCACAGAUGAGAGGAAAUUUGAUGAAGUAAUGAAGCUGAGAGGACAGAGCUUCAUGAACAACUGGAGCUUCAUGAACAACUGGGUGGUAUACAAACUUUUGGCUCACGCCAGACACCCAGUAUCUAAGAGCCAUUUGCACACAGUAGCCAUGAUGAACGUGUGGGCCCCGGAAGCAGGCAUGAAUGCCGCUGUUCACUCCACUAUGAGGAUCAACCUUAUCUGGGACAACUGAGUGCUGGUUGUGUAUGAUGGCUUCGAAGGCCUAGCCAAGGGUCAGUCUGAGGAAGCUAGCUGGAGCUAUGUUGAGGGCUGGACUGGCCAAGGUGGUUCUAAACUUGGGACUUAAAGGACUCUACCCAAGAAGAACUUCAAACAGAUCACUGCCAACAUAACCAAGUGGAACAUUCAGGGCCUUGACAUCAUUGGGGGGUUUGAGGCUUACAUAGGGGGCCUGGAACUGAUGGAGGGCAGGAAACUGUUUGAUGAGCUCUGCAUCCCAUUUGUGGUCACUCCCACUAUGGUCUCCAACAAUGUGCAUGGCUCAGACUUCAGCACUGGGGAUCACUCAGCACUCAAUGCUAUCUGCAUGACCUGUGACUACAUCAAGCAGUCAUUUGCAGGAACCAAGCAUCAGAUGUUCAUCAUUGAGAUUAUAGGUGGCUACUGUGGCUACCUGGCCACAAUGGCAGAACUGGCAGCUGGGGCUGAUGCCGCCUACAUUUUUGAGGAGCCCUUCACUAUUCGGGACCUGUACAUGGAUUUUGAACAUCUGGUGCAAAAGAUGAAAACAACUGUGAAAAGAGGCUUGGUGUUAAGGAAUGAGAAGUGCAAUGAGAAAUAUACCACUGACUUCAUUUUCAACUUGUACUCUGAGGAGGAGGGCAUCUUCGAUAGUAGGAAGAAUGUGCUUGGCCACAUGCAGCAGGGUGGGAGCCCAACUCCAUUUGACAGGAAUUUUGCCACUAAGAUGGGCGCCAAGGCUAUGAACUGGAUGUCUGGGAAAAUCAAAGAGAGUUAACAUAAUGGGCCAAUCAUUGCCAAUACACCAGACUCAGACUAUGUUCUGGGGAUGCAUAAGAGGACCCUGGUCUUUCAAUCAGUGACUGAGCUGAAGGACCAGACAGAUUGUGAGCACUGAAUCACCAAGGAACACAGUGGUGGCUGAAGCUGAGGCCCAUCCUCAAAAUCCUAGCCAAGUACAAGAUUGACUUGAAUAUCUCAAACCAUGCCUACCUGAACCACAUUACUCGGAAGUGGUCUGGGGAAGCUGCUGUCUAA